rnacentral:lncRNA from 1 species
AGCAUUUUACAGAUGACACAACUGAGGCAUCUAUCUGGAAUGUGAACCAGGCCUGACUCAGGUCACGGUCUUCUGUGCAGCACUAGGACGUGCUCCCACAUCACAGGCCUCGAAUCCCGAGUCCUCACGGCUUUCCAUCACGUAUUCAUCCACACAUUACAUGGCAGCUCACAGUCAGGCACUGCACUGGACCCUGUGGGCAACAGUGUAUACACACAAGUGUCAUUUCUGCUCUCAUGGCAAUAACAGCCUGGCCAGAGAGAGAUUUCUCCAGUAAUAAAUAUCACUACAGAAAGAAUGAGAUGAGCACUCAAGGGGAGGAGACACUGUCCGGUCAGACUUUACAACGACCUAGAGAUACUGACCAAGCAUCCACUUGGUGCCAAGCCCUUGACUAAGCCCUGAAGGUACAGAGAGAGACUCAGUGCCCGUCCUCCAGGAACCUGCCAUCUCCAACGAGGAGGCGCCUUGUAGACACAGCCAUGGAGCGCGAUGGGUGCCAACAGCGUGAGGCCUCAGCAGAAAACUCAACUGUCUGGAGACACGGAUCUGGGUUCAUGGGAAAAGUUUUCAGAGGCUGCUAUCUCUGAAAUUACAUGCAAUGAAGGAGUACAAAUUCUUCAGGCACAUGUAGAAAUGUGCCUUCAGUGGGGUAGAGAGAGCAUGAGAAUGAUGAAUCUUGAAAAUGAAGUCUGGGUUUACGGCUCUGUUGCAGUAUGUUGGUGCUUCAUUUUUUGUUUGUUUUUUUUGUUUGUUUUUUUUAAUUAUGGCUUAGGAUUGAUUGCCACAGACCACCUGUGUGUUUCUAAACCAGUGUGUAUCGAUAAAUCCUUGAAUUUAAAAAAUUAACUGAUUAAAAGAAAAAGACUACUCCUGACAGGGCAGGGAUAUUCGAAUUUGAAAACUGCCUUUGUGUUGUAAUGCAUUAAGGGGCGAAAUUCUGCACCGUGCCCCCACUGUCUCCUGGUGGCCAACAGGAAGUACGAAGUCUGACUGUAUGUGACAGAGGUCCUCAGAUUUGCAGCCGGGACACCCAGUCACGCUGUGUGGUGAGAGGCGAGUUCAAGAACUCCUCCGUGGUCGGAAAGAGUUCAUUUUAACCAAAGAAGCGAGGGGUCGACGGCCUCUCAAAUGAAACAGAUAAGGCGAACAGAGGGUUCUUGUCAGAAACAAAUGUUAUGUCUCUCCCUCCUGAAAAGCUUACAGAUAUUAUCAGGAGGAGUCUAGUUGCGCCUAAAACAAGUCCCUGAGAAGUAAUAUUAACCAGACGCUUGGCAGAUCGUUUAUUUAUCUCCCCCUGAAUUCAAUAAAGAGAGCCAUAUAUAAAUAAGGGAAAUAAUGCAACUGUAAGUCAUUUAUCACUGGCGAGAAAGCCAUUGUCGCCCUUAUCUCUUCAACGAUGCUCCGUUUCCACUGGUAAUGAAUUACAGGGUUGCCACAUCCCCGGGACAGUGGAGCCAAGCCAGGGGCUACAGCUCAGACCCUGCGUUCUGGAGACCCUGGUGGCCGCCGUCUCGGGCAUAUGCCCUCUACCCUUAGAUGCCUAUGGGCAGCCCAAGGUCAAGGACUGGUAUUCUGCUUGGGAGAAAAAGAAAUUAUCUAAGAAAACAUUUAUUCCAUGUUUUAGGUAUUUCUGAGGGAGGUGUGGUCAAGGGCUCAUUAACGAGGCAGCAUUUUAUUCAUUAUGUCUAUUGUUCCCGUCUUCUUUUUGGCCAUUUACUAAAGGAACAUGUACAGCUCGGCUUCAGAGACUCUGGGAUGCAUAAGAGGUGGACAUCUAGGCAUCAAAAUGGCAGCUCAUUUGUUCAUUUUACUGGAGCUGCUGCAGCUGCUGAGGGCAGGGAGUAUCUGCCGCAGACUGGUUUUCUUUAGUUCUUCCCACAGACUGAGCAUGGGAACUAUUUUUAAAUUUCACUUGAGAGAGGAAGAAACUACACGCCUGGGAGAACGAGUACCGUGUCCACUGUCGCAGAGCCAGUUCGCAGCGAGAAGAGACCUGAAUCUCAGUCGGACUCAUUGCCUUUCCUGUGGGUUGAGUUGGACGAACCUAGCAUACUCCUAGUCGGUGUGCGUGAUGGACAAGUGAGGCCCAAAGCAGUGGCUGGCAUCUUGCAGCCCAGAGUAAAGCACACAGACUUCACACGGCUACUGGAACCAGCAACAUUUUCAAGAGGAAGGAUGACAUGGCCAACACUGAAUUUUAAGAAACCUAUCUCUGAUGGCACCGCAGCAAACAUACAGGAGUGAAAAACAAGGGAAUCAUGAGGUAGGGAGGCCAAACAGUUGGGCCACUGAGUAGCUAGGUGGUAGUUAAAGAAAGCCAUGGCCGUGGAGACGGAAAGGAGAGCAAAUCCCAAGGAACUAAUUAGCGGAAUGUUCUGACAUCAUGCAUGAACUGUCCACGCCCCAAGGCCCAGCUCUGGUCCCCUAUCUUAGUUUUCAUUAGCCUAUUAAGAACAUGUAUGCUGAAUGCUCUGCUGUGAUAUUUAGGUCCUUUCUUUUUUUUCUUUCUUUCUUUUUUUGGUCUUUUCUAGGGCCGCACCUACGGCAUAUGAAGGUUCCCAGGCUAGGGAUCUAAUCGGAGCUGUAGCCACAGGCCUGUGCCAGAGUCACAGCCACGCGGGAUCCGAGCCACGUUUGCGACCUACACCACAGCUGACGGCAACACCGGAUCUUUAACCCACUGAGCAAGGCCAGGAAUCGAACCCAAAACCUCAUGGUUCCCAGUCGAAUUCGUUAACCACCGCACCACGACAGGAACUCCUGUGUGUUCCAACAUCUAAUUGACAAUGGGAACGCAAAGGGUAUGGCCAGGAAGAGUUGAGGCAUCUCCAGGACUGGAGAGCCUCUGAGGUCCUAAGCACUUACUUCCUCUCUCCCACAAUGGGAGUAGGUGCUACUUCACAUCUGAAGACUGUCAGUCCAGAGCGAUUGCAGCUAAUACCAGCAUUUACUAUACGCUUCACGUUGUGCGGAGCAUUUUAUGUCAAUUAUCAAGUAGCUCACAACCACCUUCUGGGUCAAUGCAUGAUCUCACAUAGGAAGAAACUCAAGCGCAGAGAGAUGAAACGAAACUUGUUCCAAGUGACCCAGGGAGUGUGUCCAUGUCACUUCCGUCCGAAUGGUCUGACUCCAGAACCUGUGCCCUAACCACUACUUCCCGAUGGUUGACACCCAGCCUGGAGAUGGCAACGCUCGUGUCUGCAUAAAGGAGAUGAGGAAAGGGAAGACCUGAGUAUGUAUUAUGUGCCAGACACUACGCUAGGUGUUGGCCACUUUGUGGACAUUAUUUUGCUUAAUUAUCAAAACCACCCUGUGAAGCUGUGAGAUAACGUGCAAGAGAUACAUUGACUUGCACAGUAUGCCCCAUAAACCCCCUUUCUCCCCCUCAACUCUUUGCCUUCCUCAAAGCAUGAAGACAGGCUGCCAUGAUUUACUCUAGAAAGUGUGAGAUGUUACCUUUAUGUCUAAGAUCCAUCUCAAAGUAAUUUGUUGUCUGUGGAGUGAGGUACGGGUCAAGUUUUUUUUCCCCCUCUUUGCUUAUCCAGUUAGUCCACCAGAACCAACAGACUGAAUACAUGUGGAUCCAUUUCUGCACAUGAUUCUGUUUCAUUGACCCGAGUUGUCUGUUCUUGCACCAAAAAAGCCUAGAGGAAAAUAAAGGCAUCCAGCAUCUCGUAGGAACAGGACUUUCCACGAACUCAGAGCUAAUAUUGGCCACAUUUUGGUCUGUUUCCCUUUGGACACACACACACAUUUUUAACAUAAUUCUUACGAGACCGUAUAUAUAAAUGUUUAUCUUGCUCUCUUUUUUUAACUUAAGAUUACAGGAGCCAAAUUUUCCAUAUCAUUAAAUAUCUUCUGAAAACAUUAUUUUUUUAUGGCUGCAUAUGUUCCAUCAUUUCUAUUUAACAUAAUUUAUUUAACUAUUUUGGCAUGCAUUUCAUUCCCACAUUUUUGCUAUUUAUAAAUAAUGUUGCAAUGAACAUAUUUGUGCAUAAAUAUUCAUACACAUUUCUGACUUUCCCUCAAGAAGAAAAAUGACUGUGUCAAAGGGCAUGCACUUUGCCCUGGCAGUCCAUAUAUUCUGCCAAAUUACUUUCCAUAUCAAUUGUAUAACUUAAAACUCCCUCUGGCACUUUAUAUGAACACUUAUUUUUCUGCACUCUUGCCAAACCUGAAUAUUACCAUUUUUAAAUCUCUGCUAAUUUUAUAGCUAAAAUGAUUCUUUAUUCAUAUCUUAAUUUGCUUUAACUUACUUUCAAGUGAAACUGAAUAUCUUUACAUAUUUUGGUGUUUGCUGUUUCUUCUUCUGUAUCUUGUCUAGCUUGGAUCUUUAGCCCAAGAAUACUGCAGUUAAGAGUUUAGUGGGCAGGGGCGGGUUUAAUGUUUCCUAAGCAUGAGACCUCUUAUAAAUUAACUUUUAAAAAUUCAGAGUUCCCGUCAUGGCUCAGUGGUUAACAAAUCCAACUGAAACCAUGACGUUGUGGGUUCGAUCCCUGGCCUUGCCUAGUGGGUUAAGGAUCCAGCAUUGCUGUGAGCUGUGGUGUAGGUUGAAGAUGCGGCUGGGAUCCUGCCUUGCUGUGGCUGUGGUGUAGGCCAGCAGCCGUAGCUCCAAUCCGACCCCUAGCCUGGGACCCUCCAUAUGCCACGGGAGCUGCCCUAGAAAAGGCAAAAAAAAAAAAAAAAAGAAAUUCUGAAGGAGAAAACCAAAAUUUUACUCUCUCCACUUGUCAUCAGUUACAAUCCCACCGGGUCCUGAGAUAAUCACCAACCCCCACCCUUUCCCCAAAACGCAAUAUGGGAUUUUCCUCUUUUUAAGUUAUAAGAAGCCACAGACAGCACUGCGGAUUCUUACAACUUAGCUCAAACUCCUCUCCCAGUGUUAUACUUUAUUCCUGGUUUAUAUACAACAUCUAUCUAAUUACACCACACAGAAAGCAGCCCAUCUUCAGGAAUUCUGGUCUACAUGAAAGUUCAUGCUAUAUGAACAUCUUCAUUAAUCCACCCUUUUUUUUAGUUUUUGUUUGAAUUUAUUUUAAAAGUAACUUUAUUUUAAAAAGAACUACUAUAACCACACAACUGGUGUCACUUGCCCAAAGUUAAAAAAGCAACAUGUAAGAAUAAGCUGUGAAGACAAAAUCUUGCUAUUAAAUUUUUACUAGGUAUCAUUGCCAGCGAUA